UCUCACUGUUCCAAAAUGGCGGCACAAUUCCAAGCAGCAUGUGGAAACAGCUCUCAGAAAUUAUAAAGUUAUGGUCUUUUCCUUCAUCUUUCCUAAAGGGAUGGAAUCCAGAGCUCACCUAUUCAUUCCUGGUGUUGAAGAAGACCCAGGCUGAAAACCCAGGUCUGCUGUUUUCACAAUAUGAACUUGGGGUGAAGGCCCAGACCUGCUAUAUCCUCAUGAUGUGAACUUGGAGAGAUGACCCAGAUCAGUUAUGUGAAUGUGGAGUGAAGGCUCAGACCUGCUAUGUCCUCACAGUGUGAACCUGGAGUGAAGACCCAGACCUCUUUGCUAUGCCCCACAGUUUGAACCUGGAAUAAAGAGCCAGAUUUGCUUUGUGCUCACAA